UACGUAGGGUGCGAGCGUUGUCCGGAAUUAUUGGGCGUAAAGAGCUUGUAGGCGGUCUGUCGCGUCUGCUGUGAAAAUCCGGGGCUCAACCCCCGGGCCUGCAGUGGGUACGGGCAGACUAGAGUGCGGUAGGGGAGACUGGAAUUCCUGGUGUAGCGGUGAAAUGCGCAGAUAUCAGGAGGAACACCCGUGGCGAAGGCGGCUCCCUGGUCCGUUUCUGACGCUGAGACGCGAAAGCGCGGGGAGCGAACGGG
rnacentral:rRNA from 1 species